UGGGGCAUAUUGCACAAUGGGCGCAAGCCUGAUGCAGCCAUGCCGCGUGUAUGAAGAAGGCCUUCUGGUUGUAAAGUACUUUCAGCGGGGAGGAAGGGAGUAAAGUUAAUACCUUUGCUCAUUGACGCUACCCGCAGAAGAAGCACCGGCUAACUCCGUGCCAGCAGCCGCGGUAAUAUGGAGGGUGCAAGCAUUAAUCGGAAUUACUGGGCGUAAAGCGCACGCAGGCGGUUUGUUAAGUCAGAUGUGAAAUCCCCGGGCUCAACCUGGGAACUGCAUCUGAUACUGGCGAGCUUGAGUCUCGUAGAGGGGGGUAGAAGUCCAGGUGGAGCGGUGGAAUGCGUAGAGAUCAGGUGGAGUACCGGUGGCGAAGGCGGCCCCCUGGACGACGACUGACGCUCAGGUGCGAAAGCGUGGGGGGCAAACAGG
rnacentral:rRNA from 1 species